GGGAAGAUGGCUCAGUGGUAGAGCGCUUGCCUUGCAUGCAUGAGGCC
rnacentral:tRNA from 1 species